CACCAGCGCCACGAGUGGCUAUCACGAUUAUUGGGCCUAAAGCGUCCGUAGUCGGUUCUGUACAUCUUUUGUGAAAUCGCAGCGCUUAACGUUGCGGCACGCGAAAGACACGGCAGAGCUUGAGAGCGGGAGGCGUGAAGGGUACUCCGGGGGGACCGGUAAAAUGGUAUAAUCCCCGGAAGACCACCUGUGGCGAAGGCGCUUCACGAGAACGCAUCUGACGAUGAGGGACGAAAGCCAGGGGAGCAAACCGG
rnacentral:rRNA from 1 species